AAAUAUGAAGCAAUACUAUUGCAAUUAGUUUCGACCUAAUAAUUAGAUAAAAUUUAUCCUUAUUUU
rnacentral:tRNA from 1 species